rnacentral:lncRNA from 1 species
GAGCCGAGCUCGAGCUCUAAACGUGCCGAUUGAAAUUCUCGACAUUAUAUAAUAAAUAGUUUAAUUUUUACAUAUCUUUACCUACAAUUUGAUGCAAUAUAUCCAAUAGUUCAAAAUACAAAAUAAUUACAAGAAAUGUGAGCGAGGGUGACUGCCUGACUGGGUGAGGGUCUGAGGGAGAACGAGAGAGAGAGAGAGAGAGAGAGAGAGAGGAAAAAAAUUAGGAAUUUGAAAAUUUGAAUGUUAUCAUGUUUUAGGAUUAUGUGCAACAGUAAAAGUCUGAAAGAGAGAGUGUGUUAUGUAAAUUUAGAGUUGGGCUCAAUUGCACGGUUGUACUUGUUGGGUUUAUUUUAUGGGCCAACAAUAAUGGCGCAAAAUAAAUUAAAGCCUAUAUAUAAUUAAAAUACAUUAUAUUUAUAAAUAUUAUAUAUAUAUAUAUAUAUAGAAUUAGGCUGGAAUACUAUUAAUAGUAAAACGCUCUUUUUGCUAUCAAGUUUUUAACCCUUAGAUGAAAUUGUAGGAUCAGGAUAAUAUUAGUCGGUUAGAGUUGAGUGGUCCCCCUAGGGUUGAGUGGUCCCCACUGGAUUAUAGUAUUUAAUCCAAUGGUUAGAAAUAAUGAAAAGAGUUGAUCCAAAGGCUAAAAAACUGGUAGCAACAAUGNGCUAUCAAGUUUUUAACCCUUAGAUGAAAUUGUAGGAUCAGGAUAAUAUUAGUCGGUUAGAGUUGAGUGGUCCCCCUAGGGUUGAGUGGUCCCCACUGGAUUAUAGUAUUUAAUCCAAUGGUUAGAAAUAAUGAAAAGAGUUGAUCCAAAGGCUAAAAAACUGGUAGCAACAAUGAAAUUUUGCUACUAAUAGUAGUCCAGUCCAACUCUAUAUAUAUAUAUAUAUACAUAUAUAUAUAUAUAUAUACAUAUAUAUAUAAUUAUGCUACUAUACUAUCUAUAGUAUCGAGCUCCGGUACUAUAGUAUUUGUUUUUGAUCUUAGGGCAUUCAAAUCAACGAUCCACACCAUUAAAUAUGAUCUAGGGUAUAUAAAGUUCUUAGAAAUAAAAUUUUAGUUUUUUUCGAUAUCGUUUACUUAGUAAAUAAAUUAUGUCAAAAUGGACGGUGGAAAUUGAAUACUCUUUAAAAUUUGAGCAUAGGACUUUUAAAUUCAAGAUCAAGAAUGUUUAUUUUAAUAUAUACAGCUUAAAGUAUUUUCUAUCAAAAUUUGAAGAAAUUUAGAUUCUUCUACACCGUUAAACUCCAAACUCGUCAUAAUAGCUAUUGAAAAUUGACACUUUUGAAAUGGUUUGAUCAUAAAGUAAAUUAUGUCGAAAAAAUAUAAAAUUUUAUUUCUAAAUAUUUUAAAUACUCUAUAUCAGUUUUAACGGCAUGGAUCGUUGAUUUGAACGCUCGAAAAUCGAAAACAACACUAUAGUACCGGAGCUCCGCUACUAUAGAUAGUAUA